rnacentral:lncRNA from 1 species
CCUUUUCCUUUAUUAUAGACUGCUUUUCUAUAUAGGGUCCACUUCUUUGACAAGACACAAACAAAACUCAAUAAAACAUUAUUUUUCAAGGGGGCAAGAAAACAAGAACUUAAAGUAAAGAAACAUCAACUGUAACAAAGAGAUCUGACACCACUGCAUUAUAUGGGUGUCUCAAACUUUUCAUCACUGAAUCACUGCAAUUUUUCCUGAUUCAUGAAAUCAAUAGAAUCACAAGAAAUGAAGUUUCAUCAAACAUCCUUUAUGUUCACAUAUACAUUCAAACUUUCAAAAGAAAAAAAAAAGCAGCAGCAAACUUGAAUUUUUUAAUUAUCUUUAUGGAAUUUACUAGUAGAAGAAAAAGAAUUAUAGGAGAAGAAAGAGAAGAUAUCAAGAAAUACACCAUUACAAAUGACAUGCAAAAAGAAGGAGGAAUAAUGGCUCUUGUUGAAACCUCAUCUGAAAUUUUGACAAGAUUACAUCAACAUUUCUUCAUAAAAUCAAUAGUAAUAUGAAGGGUUUAGGGGGGGGGGAGGGUUGGUGAAUCUUGAAAUUUUAUGCACAAGACAAGUAUACACAAUCCAUCUCUAUUUAUUAAACAUUUUUAAUAGCAGAAACAUAGGAGAAUAAACUAGUAUUUUCUUGUGUAUAACAUACAUCAAUUAAUUUUUGUGACAAAACAGAGAAGAAACUAACAUAUUCUUCACAUACAACACAAACAACGAAAAAGGAAAUGAAAAAAAUAAUAAUUAUCAUAACAAUAAUAAUACUAACACCUUCUUUGUAAUAAGAUAAGCAAGGUGCAAACAAUUCAUCUGUUGGACUCUGGAUUUGCACCACUAGGAACUUCAUGAGCAGCCACCCCAUAUUGUUGACUCGCCGUCCUGGCCUCAUCGGCAUUGACCGUGAAAGCGGUCGCAGUUGUGGUUGUGGUCACGGUCGUGGUCGUGGUCGUGUCCGUAGCAGUACUGACAGUUCCCAUAUUGUUGACUCGCCGUACCGGUCCCACCGCCAUUGACGGUGAAAGCAGUUGCAGCUGUGGUCAUAGCCGUGGUCGUGGCCGUAGCAGUACUGACAGCUGAUUGCUUAGAAUGAACUUGCAUGGCUGAUUCCUUACUCGUUGGAGAAUUUUCUAGGUUAACUCUUCCAUUUGUUGCUAAGGAAAAAGCUUGAAAAUUGAUUGUGUUAGUAGUUGGAAUUAUCAAGAAUAGCCCAAGGAAGAGAAGAAGAAAGAGAGAUUGUGAUAGUGUUGUUUUUGCCAUGAAAAAAGUUGAAUAACAAAGAAAAAUAACCACCCCCCAAUAACCCUAGGGAGAUCAAUAUCCAUGAACCAAAUGAAACCGCCAAGAUGGAAAUGCUAAAGGACAAAGAAAUCCAAAAAAUAGAAAAAGGAAAAUUUUAUGUUAUUCUUACUAUGAGUAGAAACUUUAGCUUCUCAAUUUCAAACCAUAAAGUAAUGUUAUGACUAUCAAGAGCUACAAUGGUUUUCUCAUCAAAAUAGAUGGAUAUAAAUAUGGGAAAUCCUGUGAAACAUGACUUUCUCUUUCACUUUCCCAUUUUGCCCCUCUUUUUCUUUAUAUUAUUGGUAUCUUAAGCACCUCCCAUACACGUCAAUUAUCCACUGGGC